rnacentral:lncRNA from 1 species
UGGCUGCGGGCCGCUUCUAACAUAACUCCAGGACCAGCUAUUUAGACAUUGUACAUUAACCUAUUUCUUUUUUAAUGCAUUUAGUGGAUGGCCGUUAACCCCUGUGUCUGGCAAUAGCGAAAUUUUGGGCGGCAUCACGGCUUCUGGCACCCCAAGUGAAAGAGAGUUCACAGGACGCGCCUUACACGGAUGAGUCACUCGCUGGAGACUCUGAAAGGCGAUCCCAUGGGCUGAGGCAUAGCCAUGCAAGUUUCGGCGUCAUGCAGACAUCCCUCUUGCAGGCUACUUCGCAGCCCGUUUCCAGAAACCCUACUACUGAUCAGAUGAAAUCGGAGAACUU